rnacentral:rRNA from 1 species
UACAGAGGGUGCGAGCGUUAAUCGGAAUUACUGGGCGUAAAGCGUGCGUAGACGGUUGCGUAAGUCGGAUGUGAAAUCCCCGGGCUCAACCUGGGAAUUGCAUUCGAGACUGCGUAGCUGGGGUGCGGAAGAGGGAAGCGGAAUUUCCGGUGUAGCGGUGAAAUGCGUAGAUAUCGGAAGGAACAUCAGUGGCGAAAGCGACUUCCUGGUCCAGCACCGACGUUCAGGCACGAAAGCGUGGGGAGCAAACAGG